rnacentral:sRNA from 1 species
UCUUUUUUCUUCUUCUUA